UUAAAUUGAAGAGUUUGAUCAUGGCUCAGAUUGAACGCUGGCGGCAGGCCUAACACAUGCAAGUCGAACGGUAACAGGAAGCAGCUUGCUGCUUCGCUGACGAGUGGCGGACGGGUGAGUAAUGUCUGGGAAACUGCCUGAUGGAGGGGGAUAACUACUGGAAACGGUGGCUAAUACCGCAUAACGUCGCAAGACCAAAGAGGGGGACCUUCGGGCCUCUUGCCAUCAGAUGUGCCCAGAUGGGAUUAGCUUGUUGGUGAGGUAACGGCUCACCAAGGCGACGAUCCCUAGCUGGUCUGAGAGGAUGACCAGCCACACUGGAACUGAGACACGGUCCAGACUCCUACGGGAGGCAGCAGUGGGGAAUAUUGCACAAUGGGCGCAAGCCUGAUGCAGCCAUGCCGCGUGUAUGAAGAAGGCCUUCGGGUUGUAAAGUACUUUCAGCGGGGAGGAAGGUGUUGUGGUUAAUAACCGCAGCAAUUGACGUUACCCGCAGAAGAAGCACCGGCUAACUCCGUGCCAGCAGCCGCGGUAAUACGGAGGGUGCAAGCGUUAAUCGGAAUUACUGGGCGUAAAGCGCACGCAGGCGGUCUGUCAAGUCGGAUGUGAAAUCCCCGGGCUCAACCUGGGAACUGCAUUCGAAACUGGCAGGCUUGAGUCUUGUAGAGGGGGGUAGAAUUCCAGGUGUAGCGGUGAAAUGCGUAGAGAUCUGGAGGAAUACCGGUGGCGAAGGCGGCCCCCUGGACAAAGACUGACGCUCAGGUGCGAAAGCGUGGGGAGCAAACAGGAUUAGAUACCCUGGUAGUCCACGCCGUAAACGAUGUCUACUUGGAGGUUGUGCCCUUGAGGCGUGGCUUCCGGAGCUAACGCGUUAAGUAGACCGCCUGGGGAGUACGGCCGCAAGGUUAAAACUCAAAUGAAUUGACGGGGGCCCGCACAAGCGGUGGAGCAUGUGGUUUAAUUCGAUGCAACGCGAAGAACCUUACCUGGUCUUGACAUCCACAGAACUUUCCAGAGAUGGAUUGGUGCCUUCGGGAACUGUGAGACAGGUGCUGCAUGGCUGUCGUCAGCUCGUGUUGUGAAAUGUUGGGUUAAGUCCCGCAACGAGCGCAACCCUUAUCCUUUGUUGCCAGCGGUCCGGCCGGGAACUCAAAGGAGACUGCCAGUGAUAAACUGGAGGAAGGUGGGGAUGACGUCAAGUCAUCAUGGCCCUUACGACCAGGGCUACACACGUGCUACAAUGGCGCAUACAAAGAGAAGCGACCUCGCGAGAGCAAGCGGACCUCAUAAAGUGCGUCGUAGUCCGGAUUGGAGUCUGCAACUCGACUCCAUGAAGUCGGAAUCGCUAGUAAUCGUGGAUCAGAAUGCCACGGUGAAUACGUUCCCGGGCCUUGUACACACCGCCCGUCACACCAUGGGAGUGGGUUGCAAAAGAAGUAGGUAGCUUAACCUUCGGGAGGGCGCUUACCACUUUGUGAUUCAUGACUGGGGUGAAGUCGUAACAAGGUAACCGUAGGGGAACCUGCGGUUGGAUCACCUCCUUACCUGAAAGAA
rnacentral:rRNA from 1 species